rnacentral:rRNA from 1 species
CGACCGGCGCACGGGUGAGUAACGCGUAUCCAACCUGCCUUACACUCUUGGACAGCCUUCUGAAAGGGAGACUAAUACAAGAUGUUAUCAUGAGUAAGCAUUUUCACAUGAUUAAAGGUUUACCGGUGUAAGAUGGGGAUGCGUUCCAUUAGAUAGUAGGCGGGGUAACGGCCCACCUAGUCUUCGAUGGAUAGGGGUUCUGAGAGGAAGGUCCCCCACAUUGGAACUGAGACACGGUCCAA